CAUGCAAGUCGAACGAUGAAGCCCUUCGGGGUGGAUUAGUGGCGAACGGGUGAGUAACACGUGGGCAAUCUGCCCUUCACUCUGGGACAAGCCCUGGAAACGGGGUCUAAUACCGGAUAACACUUCUUCGGGCAUCUGAAGAGGUUAAAAGCUCCGGCGGUGAAGGAUGAGCCCGCGGCCUAUCAGCUUGUUGGUGGGGUAAUGGCCUACCAAGGCGACGACGGGUAGCCGGCCUGAGAGGGCGACCGGCCACACUGGGACUGAGACACGGCCCAGACUCCUACGGGAGGCAGCAGUGGGGAAUAUUGCACAAUGGGCGAAAGCCUGAUGCAGCGACGCCGCGUGAGGGAUGACGGCCUUCGGGUUGUAAACCUCUUUCAGCAGGGAAGAAGCGAAAGUGACGGUACCUGCAGAAGAAGCGCCGGCUAACUACGUGCCAGCAGCCGCGGUAAUACGUAGGGCGCAAGCGUUGUCCGGAAUUAUUGGGCGUAAAGAGCUCGUAGGCGGCUUGUCACGUCGGAUGUGAAAGCCCGGGGCUUAACCCCGGGUCUGCAUUCGAUACGGGCAGGCUAGAGUGUGGUAGGGGAGAUCGGAAUUCCUGGUGUAGCGGUGAAAUGCGCAGAUAUCAGGAGGAACACCGGUGGCGAAGGCGGAUCUCUGGGCCAUUACUGACGCUGAGGAGCGAAAGCGUGGGGAGCGAACAGGAUUAGAUACCCUGGUAGUCCACGCCGUAAACGUUGGGAACUAGGUGUUGGCGACAUUCCACGUCGUCGGUGCCGCAGCUAACGCAUUAAGUUCCCCGCCUGGGGAGUACGGCCGCAAGGCUAA
rnacentral:rRNA from 1 species